GCACCGGAUCCCAUCAGAACUCCGAAGUUAAGCGUGCUUAGGCGAGAGUAGUACUAGGAUGGGUGACCUCCUGGGAAGUCCUCGUGUUGCAUCCCUC
rnacentral:rRNA from 1 species